rnacentral:lncRNA from 1 species
GGGGGAUGUAGCUCAGUGGUUCAAUCCCAGUCAGUACCACACACACACACACAAAAAAAUGAUACCCCUCAAUACUAAGUGAACAGUUGACUUACUGAAAUGAAAUAUCUUGUUGUGUGUCUUUUCCAGAUUUUCCUCUUUCAGCGGAUGUCAUUGACAGGUCAGAAAAUUACACAGAAUAAUAGCGAGCCACUCCCAGAUAUAAAACCAAUAGGAGAUCAAAUAACUUUACAAAGCAAUAAGAAAGAUGCAAGCCAGAACCACAUGGGACAAAACCUUCAGGAUACUUCACCAACUAUGGAGGCAAAGUCAAAAUCCUGUACAAUACUAUAAAUAUACAUUUAUGUUUUCAUGAUCACUGAGCACAUUCAUAAUUUAUACUUGAAAAAAUGGUAUGACUUCUGAAGGAAAUUUUCUGAUAAAAGACUUUUAAAAAUAUAAGUUAAUAUGUUUGGACCUGUUUAAAUAGUACGACCAGUUUUGAUAUUUAUUUAUGCUAAUUUUUAACAGCAGUUUCAAAAUAUGUACAUCUCAAACUCUUAAAAAAAGUGUUGUGGCCUUAACUGUUCAGUGUUUCAUAAAACAAUAUAUUUUUAUAUGUGAAAACUGAAUUGAGAUUUCAUAAUUUUUACUAAACAGGUUUACAUCUUUAUAAUUUCAUAAGACAAAUGUUUGCAAUCUUAUGACACUAACAGUUUUAAUGUAUUUGCACUUUUUAAAAACUGAAACAAAAUUGUAAUGAUUUAUUUUAAUAAACUUUGGUCGGUUCUGCUGUGAAAAUGGAUGAGUAUGAAUAAAAU